GACGAACGCUGGCGGCAUGCUUAACACAUGCAAGUCGAACGGAAAGGCCCUGCUUUUGUGGGGUGCUCGAGUGGCGAACGGGUGAGUAACACGUGAGUAACCUGCCCUUGACUUUGGGAUAACUUCAGGAAACUGGGGCUAAUACCGGAUAGGAGCUCCUGCUGCAUGGUGGGGGUUGGAAAGUUUCGGCGGUUGGGGCUGGACUCGCGGCUUAUCAGCUUGUUGGUGGGGUAGUGGCUUACCAAGGCUUUGACGGGUAGCCGGCCUGAGAGGGUGACCGGCCACAUUGGGACUGAGAUACGGCCCAGACUCCUACGGGAGGCAGCAGUGGGGAAUAUUGCACAAUGGGCGGAAGCCUGAUGCAGCAACGCCGCGUGCGGGAUGACGGCCUUCGGGUUGUAAACCGCUUUCGCCUGUGACGAAGCGUGAGUGACGGUAAUGGGUAAAGAAGCACCGGCUAACUACGUG
rnacentral:rRNA from 1 species